rnacentral:lncRNA from 1 species
GAGGUUAGAAAGAGGAGACAUGUAGAGGGGGGAACAGAUGGGAAAAGAGGGACAGACGGGGUGGUAGAGACAUGUAGAGGGGGAACAGAGGGAAGAGGAUAGAGGUCGAGACAUGUAGAGAGGGAACAGAGGGAAGAGGACAGAGGUAGAGACAUGUAGAGAGGGAACAGAGGGAAGAGGACAGAGACGGUGUGCAGAUGGCAGCCUGUCACAGCCCAAGGUGUCACUUGUUCACUGUGUGGUCCACACACAUGCAAAGGAUGGCACUG